CCUGUCUCUGAUCAGUGAUCAAGAUCCCUUUAAGAAGCCUGCAGAGACUCUCCUCUGUGCCAGAGAACUGCCAGCUACUCCUUGUGUGCCUCACUCGUUUGCCUUACCACAGCCCAGCCUUAGCACUCUCACUCCGGAGCCCUCACUAUUUCCCCUCAGUGGACUCCUUCUCUCCCUUCACUGUGGAAAAAGAUUCUGUUCAACAAUAAAUCUGUUAAAACUU